rnacentral:rRNA from 1 species
UACGGAGGGUGCAAGCGUUAUCCGGAUUCACUGGGUUUAAAGGGUGCGUAGGUGGGCAAGUAAGUCAGUGGUGAAAUCUCCGGGCUUAACCCGGAAACUGCCAUUGAUACUAUUUGUCUUGAAUACUGUGGGGGUCAGCGGAAUAUGUCAUGUAGCGGUGAAAUGCUUAGAUAUGACAUAGAACACCAAUUGCGAAGGCAGCUGGCUACACAAAUAUUGACACUGAGGCAUGAAAGCGUGGGGAUCAAACAGG